UACCAUUUGGAAACAGAUGCUAAUACCGGAUAAAAAGCUACUUUCGCAUGAAAGAAGUUUAAAAAAGGACGGCGUAAAGCUGUCGCUAAAGGAUGGACCUGCGAUGCAUUAGCUAGUUGGUAAGGUAACGGCUUACCAAGGCGAUGAUGCAUAGCCGAGUUGAGAGACUGAUCGGCCACAUUGGGACUGAGACACGGCCCAAACUCCUACGGGAGGCAGCAGUAGGGAAUCUUCCACAAUGGACGCAAGUCUGAUGGAGCAACGCCGCGUGAGUGAAGAAGGUUUUCGGAUCGUAAAGCUCUGUUGUUGGUGAAGAAGGAUAGAGGUAGUAACUGGCCUUUAUUUGACGGUAAUCAACCAGAAAGUCACGGGCUAACUACGUGCCAGCAGCCGCGGUAAAU
rnacentral:rRNA from 1 species